GGGCCCGUAGCUCAAUGGUCAGAGCAGGCGACUCAUAAUCGCUCGGUUGCAGGUUCGAUCCCUGCCGGGCCCA
rnacentral:tRNA from 1 species